UACAGAGGUGGCAAGCGUUGUUCGGAAUUACUGGGCGUAAAGGGCUCGUAGGCGGCCAACUAAGUCGGAUGUGAAAUCCCCAGGCUUAACCUGGGAACUGCAUCCGAUACUGGAUGGCUUGAAUUCGGGAGAGGGAUGCAGAAUUCCAGGUGUAGCGGUGAAAUGCGUAGAUAUCUGGAGGAAUACCGGUGGCGAAGGCGGCAUCCUGGACCGAGAUUGACGCUGAUGAGCGAAAGCUAGGGGAGCAAACGGG
rnacentral:rRNA from 1 species